ACGGAGGGUGCAAGCGUUAAUCGGAAUUACUGGGCGUAAAGCGCACGCAGGCGGUUUGUUAAGUCAGAUGUGAAAUCCCCGAGCUCAACUUGGGAACUGCAUUUGAAACUGGCAAGCUAGAGUCUUGUAGAGGGGGGUAGAAUUCCAGGUGUAGCGGUGAAAUGCGUAGAGAUCUGGAGGAAUACCGGUGGCGAAGGCGGCCCCCUGGACAAAGACUGACGCUCAGGUGCGAAAGCGUGGGGAGCAAACAG
rnacentral:rRNA from 1 species